CAUUUGCAAUCUAGGGUUUUUAUACAUCAUAAAUCCAACCCCUGUUUAGAGCUAGUAAAGGAACAAAAGAAGAACUACCAUUAUUUGGGCUGAUUUCAGUAGCUUCUGUCUGCAGGUUCUUGUGGAUCUAUGUGGCAGUAAAGGGGUGGAGCGAGCCAACCAGCGAGCCAACCAGCAAAACUGUGAAGGGCGGAUACUCUGCACCGUGGUCGACUGUCGAGACCUAUGUGUGCAGGUGUAUACAGAGUGACAGCUCAUCCGUUUUCAAAUAUUAUUUUUAAGAUGAUUUAUUGACCAGUUAGGAUAUUAUAACUAAGGAGAGUUUGGGCCAAAAUAGCGGCUGGGCCAUGAUUCGUUCCCGCAGAAACAGGAAGAUAAUUUCUGAAAUGCGUGGCCGCAGCAAUGGUGUUGGGAAAGUAUUUAAUACCAGACAUGGCUAUGUCAUGUUGGCUACUGUAACAAAGGCCCUGAUGACCUCAUAGUGAAUAUUGGGAAGAAGACAGCUGGAGCAUCAUCAUCAUCAGAUCAUUUCACAUGUAUUUAAAAUAAGAUGUCACGUUAGAAUUGGAACGCUUCACACUUGCAUAUUAAUGUUACAUCAUGUUACAACAAACUGCUAUUUCGCUUAUUCUAAAUAAAC
rnacentral:lncRNA from 1 species